GUUCCUGUAGCACAAUGGAUAGUGCAUUGGGAUUCUAGUUCUGGAUCGUAGGUUCGAAUCUUACCUGGAAUG